UGCUGUGUUCGCUCGCUCUGCACCUUGCUCCUGCCCACUCUGCUUGUCAGCUUUCCUCUGUCCUGAAAGAUCCUUAGUGCCUGGAUUUCAUCAUCCAGCCCUGCAGGAUGCUCCCCUUUGUUCUGGGGAAGGUCUUGUGCCAUUCCAUGGAGGUGGACAACACCCACCUGCCCGGGUGGGCUGGAGCUCUGUGGGGAUGGAGUGGGACAGAGACUCCACUCUGAGCUUUUGCUACCUCUGCAGGCUGUCCCAGACAGAGAGGAGGAGAUGGAGCUUGAUACAGAGAUUGAUAUGGAGGAGGAGAUGGAAAUAGACGGAGAAGACCCUGGAGAGGAAGAGAUGGAGGUGGAGGUGAAGGUGGAAGAGGAGAUGGAUGUGGAUAUGGAAGAGUCCAUUGAGGACAUGGAUAUUGAUUAAAAAUGUGCGAUGGACAUCACAGACAGAGACACCAACCUUUGUAUAUAUGUUCUACAGUUUGUUGUUGUUCUUUAGCAUGUAGAUUGUAGGGCUAUUUUUGACUUCUGUAAAUACAUAGUUUUGUUAGGUAGGUUUUGCUAGGUAGGUUUUUAUGUAUAUAUGUUCUAUCUAUUGUUGUUGUUACAAAUAUUCUUACAAUGUAAAUGUAUUCUGCAUUUUUGCUGCUGUUCUUCCCUAAUAAACAAAUUUUAUUUUUCA